rnacentral:lncRNA from 1 species
UUAAGAGAGUGUGGUCUAAAGAUUGGGAUUUUUAAGUGCCCCAGCUGGCCAAUAGGACAGAAAUGUUUAAUUCAGGGCAACUUUCCUGUUACCCUGAACCAAACCGAGAUAACUGACUGCCUUCUCUUUUCAGGCAUUCAUUUACCAGAAGAACAGGGAAUGAGCAAAAGAAAUUCUCAAAGAAUUUUUCUUUUGAUACUUACCCACACUUCCUGUGCUCUGAGUCAGACCACAGAAAUUGACAAAUAUGUGCAGAACAUCUUAGAGGAAAAAUGAGAAAUGAAGACAGAUGUCAAAACUAUGUAGAAACACAGCCGGCCAUCUUCUUAAAGACUCACUUUAACACGAAUAACAUUUAACUCCAUCGUCAACAAAACCGAACUUCCUAAAAAAUAAUUCAGCAUGGAUUUCUAUGAGCCAUGUUGACUGAAGACAGAUAACCUGGCAGAUGUGUUGACUCCAACAAAACAAGGCGAAUGUUCUCAGGUUUUGGGUAUUGUGUCUCUCUGAGGUGAUAACCACAGAGCGAGUUUCUCUGCUCUUGGUGUGAAGCAGUUUCAAAUUGUUGAACCCCAGGGUUCCUUAUAUUUGCUAUGAAUUUCCAUCACUCCUCUUCAUAGUGACAUCUAAAUGCUUCCAUUACAAGAACUAUAUUUGUUUCUUGUAAAAUACCUUUUACCUCUGGAUUCUUCAGAAUUAUGGCAUGCAGUGUGCUCAUAAACACUAUCUGAUCUCUUCCAAACACAGUUGAUCUCUCCACUGCUGGAUGCUUCCAUUUUAUCGUUCGUCAUCCACAACCAGUCUCCAUGGGGUAAAAUCAGCAAGAGACUCCGCGUGAUGUGUUCCCUUGUCUGCAAGUGGCCACAUUAAUAACCUUUUGAAGGGCUUUUUUCAUUUCCACUCUCUGGGAGGAAUUUUUUUAACCACUCAAGCCUUGGGGUCUGUUUAAACAAGAAAUUGUUUUACACUCCUGAAUGAUGCAUUCCUCUCCAGCUAUUUCUACAUAACUUCCAGGAUAUGAAAACCGCCCAAGGCUUUCCAACAUGGCUGCUUUCUUUCCUCUCAUAAACAAACUCAGCAGUAAUCAUGCCAUUGUGGUCACUCUGGGGCUUUGCAUUGCUUCAACUUUUUCCCUCAGUCUUUUGUUCUGCCAGACACUGAUUAUGACAGUUCACCCGAAUCUGGAAAGCAAGAAUGCACUCUUCUGCUGGUCUCUGGCCUUUAGCCUUUUCCUUUGUCCUCCAUGAAUAUAUGAGGCCAACAGGAGGGAUCUAGGCUCAGUAUGAUAGGCUCAAUAAUGGCUUACUGAGAUGUCAGGUUCUAAUCCCUGGAAGCUGUAAAUGUCACCUUCUAAGGAAAAUGGCUCUUUGCGGAUGUGGAUUAAGCAAAUAAUUAUACAUGGGAAGAUCAUCUUGGAUUACCUGCAUGGGCCCUAAAUGCAAUCACAUGUGCCUUAUAAGAGGGAGGCAGGGAGAAAUUUGAUACAGACAGAAAAGGAGGAGAUAAUGAGGCCAUGGAGGCACAGAGUGGAGUGAUGUUGCCACAGGCCCAGGAAUGCUGGCAGCCUCUGGAACCUGGGAGAGGCACAGAGCAGAUUCACCCCCAGAGCCUUCAGAAGGACCAAGGUCCUGCCACCACCUCAAUUCUAGUUCAGUGAAAGUGAUUUUGGACUUCUUGUCUCCAGAACUGUAAGAUAAUGAAUUCCUGUUGUUUUCAGCCACUUUAGUUAUUACAGUAGCCACAGGAAACUAAAAUGCUUGACCACCUGCAUCUGACCUUCAACAUCUCCAGCUGCAUGCAUCACUGCUGCAGAGCUCAGAGCAUCCCAGCACACACCUCCUAUGGCAUUCUUGAGGAGGUGCUGAUGCUUUUCCUUCCUCAAUUGAUCCAGAGAAUUAACAAACUUCUGUGGCAUUCUGAUGUUUUGAGAGCAAACAUGAGGAAACAAAAGCCCCAAAGGAAUAUUCAAACAUGACUUCUUUUUUUUUUUUUUUUUUUUUUUGAGACAGGGUCUCACUCCAACACGGCUCACUGCAGCCUCAACCUCCUGGGCUCAAGGGAUUCUCCUGCCUCAGCCCAUCAAGUAGCUGGGACCACAGUUGCACCUCAUGACACCUGGCUAAUUUUUUGUACUUUUUGCAGAGAUGGAGUUUCACCAUGUCGCCCAGGCUGGUCUUGAACUCCUGAGCUCAAGCAAUCCACCUGCCUUGGCCUCCCAAAGUGCUGGGAUUGUAGGCAUAAGCCACUGCGUCCAGCCGGAACAUGACUUUCUGAGCUCCACUGUAGGCUCCCAGUAAAACAUCCUUGCACCAAGCUCCCGUCUUCUUAUUGAAGCUGAAAUGUUACACAAAAUGUCUUCAAGCCACUAAACAGUCAUCAUGAUUUUAACUCAUCUGUUUGGAUUUGGACAAGUUACUUAAUUUUUCUGGGCUUCAAUUUCUUCACCAGGAGUGCUGAAUGGUGAGCCAGGAGGCUUGGGCCCCAGGACAAGAUGGCCUGGAUGCUAGGACAGGGUGACCGCUCACUCUUUGAACAGUACCUCUCUGGCCUUCUGCUUAGUGUCCCAUCUCCCAGCCAAAGGAAGGCCACUUUUCUGAGCAAGCUGGACAGUCUGAGAGGCAGUUCCUCCAGCUCUUAUGUUCAUGAAGUUGAGCUUUGGUCAGGUGGGUCUCCACACGUCUUCUCCAGCACGACAAUCCUUCAGGUAGCUGAGAUAAGGUUGGUAUAACCAGCACAACCCCAGAAAACCAUCCUUAUUGGUCAGCGUUCUCCAGAGAGGCAGAACCAACAGGAUAUGCAUACAGAGAAAGAGAAAGAUUCAUUUUAAGAAAUAGGCUUGCACAACUAUGGAGGCUUGGUGAGUUAAAAAUUUGAUGGUGGUGGCCGCUAGGCUAGAGAUGCAGGGAAGUUGCAGUUUGAGUCUGAAGGCAGUCUGCUGGCAGAAUCCGUUAUUGCUCAACAAGAUGGAAUGGGGGUGGUCAGUCUUUGCUCUGUUAAGGUCUUCAAUUGACUAGAUGAGACCCACCCACAUUAUAAAGGGAAAUCUGCUUUACCCAAAAUCCACCAAUUUAAGCAUUAAUGUCAUCCAAAAAACACCUUCACAGAAACAUCCAGAAUAAUGUUUGACCAAAUAUCCAAGUACAGUGGCCCAGCCAAGUUAAAACAUAAAAUGAACUACCACACUUUCCCACCAGACGUACAAGUCUUCACCCCCUCCACUUGUUUGCACUUAUGAAUAUCCCAAGAAGAGCAGGAGAGGGUUGUCUAUAUGGGGUGACCAGGGAGAAUGUAGGCAAUGUCUAUGGCAUCACUACAGCUAGGUGACCAACAGGUAAGAUGAAGGAUGCUAAUGAAGAUCUCACUAAGAUCCACCGAGCUGGAAUCAAGAGAAGGGGCUAGGUCUGCGCAGAUGAAGCCUCCCUUUCUCUGAAGCUCCUGGGCAUGCAAAUGAUGCAUGGUUUUUCUGAAUUUUGUUUGUUUGUUUGUUUGUUUAGCUAUCAAUUGCUGUGAAACAAACUACCCAAAACUUAGUGGCUGGUCUCUCCCAACAACCAUUUUAUCAUUGCUCAUGAUUCUGCGACCAGGAUUUCAGACAGCACACAGAGGGUGGCUUGUCUGUGUCCCAUGCAAUGUCUGCCGAGGCUAGAAUGUCCAAGAUGACUUCUUCACUCAUACAUCUGGUCCCUCAAUUAGAUCGGCUCAAGUAGCUGAAGGCUGACAGAGACACUUUAUGGGAGUCAGAAGUCUGUAGCCUCAAUUCUCACAGUUGGCUGGGUUCUUCAGUCUCCACGCAAUCUAUGGGCUUCUCUCUCUCCACAAAGUUCGAUCCUUCCAAGAUACACAAUCAGAAAUGGCCAAACCUUCUUAAAGCUGAAGUCCACACCUGGCACUGGGUCCCCUCUACCAGCAUUCUAACAGACCUCAUUUUGUCUUGAAGAUCCUUUCUUACUUCCAAAGGCAUUUGCACCUCACACUCAUUUUUCUUCCAGUACUCUCACACUGGAGUUGAUAGCCCAUUAGACCCAAAAAUCUUCCCCAAAGUGAAACUAGUUUCCCUUUCCUUGAGUUGAGAAGAUUUAAUAUCCAAAUUUUCCAGAAGGUUUGGAAGGAGAUAUUGCAUUUCAUUUUCCUUAGAAGCAUGCAUUGUUAUGGAUAUUGGGACAUCUGGACAUUCCAUUGUCAUAGGAGUGUGUCCUUGCAGGUAUCAUCAAGCUGUUUUCUGAACUGUAAACAUCUUAGGGCUGUGGGUUGUGACCAGCAAGGAAUGUGCCUUAUUAGUGUCAAGAUGGAGCUGAACUUCAAAUGACGUGACUCUGACUCUCCUAUGCUCUUGUUUCCCUAACAGUCUGACAAGGUUAACCUUCAAGGACUGCAUCAGGAAUUGGUCACAGUGCUUAGCAACAGGUUCUCUUCACUCUUGUCAUUUACAUAUAGACGACAGCUAAUAUUCAAAUCCGUGUAGGCAAACCCACAGUUGAUUAAAUUAAAUCUCUUCUCUAGCUUGAUUUGCAUAACUUGAAAUAAUCAGAAUAGAGAGUGAAUGCAUAAUUGAAAAGAGAAAAUACGUACUGCAGCUAUUUGAAACUAGAUGUCGUUGAAUUAAGCUUGUAAAUUCUGAUAGUACUGAAUGUACAACUGUUCUAGGCUAACUUUACAUUUGAAAUGUUAAGAAAUGUGAGUUGUGAACUGGAAAGUUAAUUAACAAACAAAAUCUUAGAAUAUUGCACUUUGUUAUGGCAGCCCUAGAAAUAA